rnacentral:sRNA from 1 species
GUCAGUCCCAGCCCAAGGGUCGCUGGAGGCGCGCAGGCCGGCUCGGCUCCGGCCCCGGACGAUGCGGCGCGCCCAGGAUGCUGCCGUGCCUCGUAGUGCUGCUGGCGGCGCUCCUCAGCCUCCGUCUUGGCUCAGACGCUCAUGGCUCACCUGUUGUGGAAGUGGAAGAGGCUGAGAUUGACAGGAACUGACGGAUUGGGAAGGAUAGAGAAGUAUGCGCAAGGCCAAACCCCUAACCCGCAAACCUCAUCAUCCACCCACUUCUAGUUGAGCCAGACAGAGCUGCCCAGCCCUCCGUCUGUGUGGUUUGAAGCAGAAUUUUUCCACCACAUCCUCCACUGGACACCCAUCCCAAAUCAAUCUGAAAGUACCUGCUAUGAAGUGGCGCUCCUGAGGUAUGGAAUAGAGCCCUGGAACUCCAUCUCCAACUGUAGCCAGGCCCUGUCCUACGACCUUACCACAGUGACCCUGGACCUGUACCGCAGCAGUGGCUACCGGGCCAGAGUCCGGGCUGUGGACGGCAGCCGGCACUCCAACUGGACCGUCACCAACACCCGCUUCUCUGUGGAUGAAGUGACUCUGACAGUUGGCAGUGUGAAGCUAGAGAUCCACAAUGGCUUCAUCCUCGGGGAGAUUCAGCCCCCCAGGCCCAAGAUGGCCCCUGCAAAUGACACAUAUGAAAGCAUCUUCAGUCACUUCCGAGAGUAUGAGAUUGCCAUUCGCAAGGUGCCAGGAAACUUCACGUUCACACACAAGAAAGUAAAACAUGAAAACUUCAGCCUCCUAACCUCUGGAGAAGUGGGAGAGUUCUGUGUCCAGGUGAAACCAUCUGUCGCUUCCCGAACUAACAAGGGGAUGUGGUCUAAAGAGGAGUGCGUCUCCCUCACCAGGCAGUAUUUCACCGUGACCAACGUCAUCAUCUUCUUUGCCUUUGUCCUGCUGCUCUCCGGAGUCCUCGCCUACUGCCUGGCCCUCCAGCUGUAUGUGCGGCGCCGAAAGAAGCUGCCCAGUGUCCUGCUCUUCAAGAAGCCCAGCCCCUUCAUCUUCAUCAGCCAGCGUCCCUCCCCAGAGACCCAAGACACCAUCCACCCGCUUGAUGAGGAGGCCUUCCUGAAGGUGUCCCCAGAGCUGAGGAACUCGGACCUGCACGGCAGCACGGACAGUGGCUUUGGCAGCACAAAGCCAUCCCUGCAGACUGAAGAGCCCCAGUUCCUCCUCCCUGCCCCUCCCCCCCAGGCUGACAGAACGCUGGAAAACGGGGAGCUCCCUGUGCUGGGGGACAGCUGCAGUGGUGGCAGCAGCAAUAGCACAGACAGCGGGAUCUGCCUGCAGGAGCCCAGCCUGAGCCCCAGCACAGGGCCCACCUGGGAGCAGCAGGUGGGGAGCAACAGCAGGGGCCAGGAUGACAGUGGCAUUGGCCUAGUUCAAAACUCUAAGGGCCGGGCUGGGGACACACAGCGUGGCUCAGCCUUGGGCCACCACAGUCCCCCAGAGCCUGAGGUGCCUGGGGAAGAAGACCCAGCUGCUGUGGCAUUCCUGGGCUACCUGAGGCAGACCAGAUACGCUGAAGAGAAGGCAACCAAGACAGGCUGCCUGGAGGAAGAAUCGCCCUUGACAGAUGGCCUUGGCCCCAAAUUCGGGAGAUGCCUGGAUGAUGAGGCAGGCUUGCAUCCACCAGCCCUGGCCAAGGGCUAUUUGAAACAGGAUCCUCUAGAAAUGACUCUGGCUUCCUCAGGGGCCCCAACUGGACAGUGGAACCAGCCCACUGAGGAAUGGUCACUCCUGGCCUUGAGCAGCUGCAGUGACCUGGGAACAUCUGACUGGAGCUUUGCCCAUGACCUUGCCCCUCUAGGCUGUGUGGCAGCCCCAGGUGGUCUCCUGGGCAGCUUUAACUCAGACCUGGUCACCCUGCCCCUCAUCUCUAGCCUGCAGUCAAGUGAGUGACUCAGGCUGAGAGGCUGCUUUUGAUUUUAGCCGUGCCUGCUCCUCUGCCUGGACCAGGAGGAGGGCCCCCAGGGCAGAAGUAAGGCACGAGGCAGUCUGGGCACUUUUCUGCAAGUCCACUGGGGCCGGCCCCAGCCAGGCCCUGCAGGGCUGGUCAGGGUGCCUAGGGCAGGAGGAGGCCAACUCACUGAACUAGUGCAGGGUAUGUGGGUGGCACUGACCUGUUCUGUUGACUG